GAUGAAGAACGUAGCGAAAUGCGAUAAGUAAUGUGAAUUGCAGAAUUCAGUGAAUCAUCGAAUCUUUGAACGCACAUUGCGCCCCCUGGUAUUCCGGGGGGCAUGCCUGUCCGAGCGUCAUUACAACCCUCAAGCUCAGCUUGGUGUUGGGCCCCGCCGCCCCGGCGGGCCCUAAAGUCAGUGGCGGUGCCGUCCGGCUCCGAGCGUAGUAAUUUUUCUCGCUCUGGAGGUCCGGUCGUGUGCUCGCCAGCAACCCCCAAUUUUUUUCAGGUUGACCUCGGAUCAGGUAGGGAUACCCGCUGAACUUAAGCAUAUCAAUAAGCGGAGGA
rnacentral:misc_RNA from 1 species